rnacentral:rRNA from 1 species
UACGUAGGGUGCAAGCGUUAAUCGGAAUUACUGGGCGUAAAGCGUGCGCAGGCGGUCGUGUAAGACAGAUGUGAAAUCUCCGGGCUCAACCUGGGAACUGCAUUUGUGACUGCACGGCUGGAGUGCGGCAGAGGGGGGAUGGAAUUCCGCGUGUAGUAGUGAAAUGCGUAGAUAUGCGGAGGAACACCGAUGGCGAAGGCAAUUCCCUGGGCCUGCACUGACGCUCAUGCACGAAAGCGUGGGGAGCAAACAGG